rnacentral:lncRNA from 1 species
AAAUUGAUGAAUUAUAACAGAUCUAGGUAGAAUUUAUCCACCCCCAUCCCUACCCCCUUUUUGGGUAGAUAACAGAAAUGUGCAAUUCACUGUACUAUGGAGACUGGAAGGUCUACUACAUUUAUUGCUGUGCCAGUUCUCCUUAUAAGUUGUUGUUGCUGCUUUUGUUUUAUUUAUUCUGUCUAUGGGUGUGUUUGUUUUCUGUUUGUUUUUCUGUCUUUCUAGGUAGCCUUAGCUGGCCUGAUACUUGCUAUGUAAUCCAAAUUGGCUUUGAACUCCUAGCAAUCCUCCUGAGUUAACUCUCCGUGUGCUGGGAUUACAGGCUCUGACAAAAUGCCUGGGAGAAACAACUUAAGAGAAAAGGGUCUAUUUUGGCUCAUGUCAAAGGAUCCCAACUACGAUGGUGAGGCAGAUAUUGUGGUAGAAGUGGCUGAGUUAAGUUCUUAGUCUGUGUUGAUGUGAGUACCAAGCAGAUGGUCACUUCAUGAGGAGAAAACAGGGAGCUAGACUGGAUCCAGCGGUAUGUAUGGGAAGCUGCUUCUGUUUGCAAGGCCACAUAUUCCUAGUUCACAGCCUCAUACAACAGUGCCACAAGCUGGUGAGUUUUCAAAUACGUGCACUCCCAGGAACAUAAUAUAUGGAAAUAAUCUUGCAUCUCCUCACUGGUAAUCUUUGUCCGGGUGAACUGGAAGGGUCCUUAGAGUAGGAGUGAGCUGGAUUGCUAAACAGAGUUCCAUUAUUCUCCUAUCAGAUCAAUAAAUUUUCACUUGUUCUGAGGUACUAUUUAUGGAUUAGUAAAAUACCCACAAUAACAUCUACAGACAGAAAGGUAUAGGCUCAGAAAUUAACAGCCUUGAGUUGCAGGUGGAAGGUGCAGAAGCCAAAUUAAAAACAGUCUUUUCAGGCUGAGCUCAGGAGCCUGAAUUUCCAUGCUGUAAGUGGCUGGGAUCCACUGGAGGAUUUUAAUUGUGUAAGUUGACAAGAUCAGAUUUGCUAUUCAGAAAGCACACCCUGGCACAGAUCGGUGGGUGGAAUAGAAAGUGGUUGCCCUGGAGACAGGCAGACCCAUUAGGAAGCUCUGACAAAGAUCCAGGAGAGAGAAAAUGAGGAUAGUGGUUGGAGGAAUGAGCAGAUUCAAAGACAUUUUAGAGGUGGAACGGAUGGUCGGGAGACGCUCAUUCAGUGUAAAUGCUGAAGGAAAGGAAGAACCAAGGAGCGCUGUGGUUUCCAGCUUGGAUUUCUAUAUGGAUAGUGAAUAAUUAAUGAAGAUGUGGCGGGCGGGCAUAAUGGGGACUUAAGAGGGAGGUAGUUGUAGAUGGACGUGAUCAAUAUACAUUUGUUUAAAUGUGUAUAACUUUCAAAGAGUAAGAGAAUUAUUAUUUUAAUAGAUCAAGGUAUAAAAUACAAAAAAAAGUCAAAUGGGGGGGGGGGUUUGCUAAUGAAUUCAUAUGUGACCUGUUGAAUUUGAUGUAUCUUUUGGACUUGUAGGUGAAGAAGUCACAUGUGGUGAAUAUAUUAUCAUCAGAAUGCGGAGCAAUGAAAUGUAAACAGAUAGGAAUCGUCACUAAAGCUCCAACUGCAGCCUCCGGGUGCCAUAGCUUUUGCACCAUCCAUUUGCACCAUCUCUGCAGUAAGUCCUAGCUCAAGCCUUACUCCAAAGUACAAAUUAGCAUAGCAGCUCAGUCAACAAUGCCUCCGAGCUUCUGGAAAGAAAGAUGCUCAGUCACCAUAGACCCAGAAUUAAUGAAAAGUCACAGAAAUAAUAGCUCCAUUCUCUACUUGCUUCUGAACCUCAAAUCAGUGGUUGGCAACAAGGAUGUCUGCAUCAUCUGUAUUGACCUGCUCCCCAGAUUAAUACCGAAGCACUGCAAUUUCUUGAGGAUUAUCCACCUAGGAGGAAAUGAUACGCUGGCCCAUCCAUAGUAGUCAAGAAACAGUCUGAGAUCCAAAAAGUGGCUUAAAAGAGGGAAAAGUUAAUCAAAAUGUCUGUGAAGCUCUGGCUUCAGUCUCUCCAGCGAGGCUUUCUGAAGCACAGCUCUGAUAGAACUAAACCCAAUGAGACACCGCCUACAAGAGGAAUCCAGCGUGUGAACGAAGACUAAAAAGCAAAACAGCAGCGUCUGGAGUGGACAGCUUCUCUCACUCAGAGAACUGUAGCCUCAAAUUCCUGGCAGAGGUGAGACUAGAACUCAGUCUCAUGGUAUUGCCUACAGUUAACAACAUUAGUUGAAUUGUGUGUGUCUUAAUUUCACUUAUGUAAAUGGAAUGAACAGGUAGACAUGGUAGUGCGGGUCUGUCAUUCCGGCACCAGGGAGGCUGAGGCAGGAUAACAAUGUGUUAACAUUCCACCUGAUUUAUACAGUUAGUGUCAGACUAAUCUGAGCCAUAGGCUGAAAACUUGUCUCAAGUCAAUCAACGAAGAGAAGCAUAAAAAUAUCCCAACCAUCCUGAGAUUUUCAGUUUUAUAAGUAAAACAAGUCUAAGUCCAACAUGAGACUGCUAUUCAAACAAACAAACAAACAACAAACGCUGAAGAUGGGCCCAGGAGGGUCCUGCCAUUACUAGCAAAGGGCCGCCAUUACUAGGUCAAGGCCUAGACUCCGAUGUGAUUGGGUUGAGCAGGCAGCAUAGGCCUCAGUUUGCGGAAAAUGAAAAUGCAAGGUGCCUUUCUCAAAGUGAUUUUGAAUUUUAGCGGCUAGAGAGAGCAGAGUAUCAAACCACGAUGAAGGGCUUCUAGUUAUCACACACACACACACACACACACACACACAGAGAGAGAGAGAGAGAGAGAGAGAGAGAGAGAGAGAGGGAGAGAGAGAGAGAGACUCUGCCUUCACACUUGCUGACAACAAAAAUCACAUCGUCCUCCACACUCCCUGUGAGCACAGGAAGGACUACGUGAGGUCUCUGGAGUGUGAUAAGCUUCCCAUAGGAGACUAACCAGGAGAGAGCAUCUAUAUACCGAAUCUUAACUGUGCCUUUGCUUCUCAAAAUGAUAGCCUGCUGAUGCAAGGCUGUGAUUUCCUGAAUAUAUUCCCAUUUCUGUUGCCAGCCUUGUAUUCCCUAGGUUGUCCAAAAAAAAAAAAAAAGUUGUGGAUGUGAUGAUUCUUUUUUUUCUUUUUAUUAUGCUUCAGUGAGCUUUCAAACUUAGCUGGUCAGAAAUAAUGAAUUUAUGCGCGUACACACACACACACACACACACACACACACACACACACACACCUAGCCUACCUUAAUUUUAUCAGUUAAUAAAGAGAGCCAAACUAUUCAGAAUAUUUAAUACAAAGAACAAAAGAGUGGCACCGCCUGAAGAAUGUCAGCAGUGUUUUCAGCUCCGCCGCCCGCUCCGCCCUGUCUUGUUUUGCACUUUAUCUUCCUGGAGCCUUUCCAGGAGACAAAUCUUUCCAUCAGAAUCUUUGUGGGUUGAAGCCCGUGUCCUGUCAGGUUGUGUAUCAAAAUUUCUGGUGAAUUUUUCCUCCUCAAUAUUUCAGACCUAUAAAAAAGAUUUGCAAAGGCAGAACUCUAGAUAUUAUAAUCACUCCAAGCACAGAAAAAAAAAAGUGGUAAAAGUUUUUCUUUUUCCCACUGCUAAAUACAGAAUGUUCCUCUGUUAGGUACCCUUAACACUGACAAAGCAUAUAUUUUUGUUUUAUC